rnacentral:lncRNA from 1 species
AUCACAUGACAUGAUCAUGUAUAGAGAUUAUUUACUAAGCUUCUCCUUCAUCCUUUCAACAGCAGCCUUAAUAGUUUCCUCGUCCUUGCAGAAAGUAAACCUGACUAGAUUCUUUCCCUCUUCUGGAUUCAAGUAAAAUACACUUAAAGGUAUUGCCGCCACACCAAUCUCCUUAAUUAGAUAUUCACAAAAUGCAACAUCAUUUUCAUGUCCGAAAGGGGUGUGAUCUGCAAGCACAAAAAAGGUUCCAUUGGUUGGGAAUACCUUGAACCCAACAGCCUUCAACCCUUCAACCAAAAUAGCUCUCUUUGCAAUAUAGUCCCUCUUUAGCUCCACAUAGUAAGAAUCUGGUGCUCUAAGUGCUGCUGCAGCCCCACACUGCAAAGGAUGGGAAAUUGAGAAAGCGAUAUAAGUGUGUGCCUGUCGCACUCCCCACAUUAAGUGUGGAGGCGCUAUGGCCCAUCCAACCUUCCACCCCGUUAAGGAGAAUGACUUCCCCAAUGAGUUCAUUGUCACCGUCCGCUCGAACAUUCCAGGCAAAGUAGCAAUUGAAAUGUGCUCCAUAUCGAAUGCCAACUUAUGAUACACUUCAUCAGUGAAAACCAGAACAUCAUUUUCAAUGCAAAGAGAUGCAACAGAAUCGAGCUCCUCUCGAGUGAACAUCUUUCCGGUAGGAUUGUGAGGGGUAUUUAUAAGAAUGGCACGAGUAUUCUUUGAGAUGGUGGACUUCAAAUCAUCAAUCGGGACAGCGAAAUCUGGAGGGCGCAGAGUAAUGCUUUUUAUAUUUGCACCAGCCAUGGAUAAAGUGGCACCAUAAGAAUCAUAAAAAGGAGCAAACAGAAUAACCUCUUCACCGGGAUUUAUUAAUCCUAAUACAGUUGCAGCGAUUGCUUCUGUGCAACCAGAUGUAACAGUAAUUUCGUUAUCAGGAUCUACAAUUAGUCCAGUAUCUUUCUUGAAUCUCUCAGCAAUUGCAAUGUUGAGAUCUGGAACUCCAAAACCCCUUGCAUACUGAUUAUUCCCAUCCCUGAUUGCUUGAAUUGCUGCUUCCUUUACAAAUUCUGGACCGUCAAAGUUGGGAAAGCCCUGACCAAGGUUUAUAGCACCAUGUGUGAUGGCAAGCAUACUCAUUUGAGUGAAGAUUGUUGUUUUGAACUGCUCUAGCUGUUUUGCAACCUAACAAACAAAUGACAAGCAACAAAGGUCAAUGUAAACACAUGGCUUAAUUAUGAACAGUGAAGUUCUUUUUUCCCCUCGUCUUUUUCUACAUUGUUUGUGACAUUGUUAGAUAAGAUAACCAGAUACUAAUGUACAUAACAGAACUAAACCCAUAAAUCACAGAUACUAACACAUUGAGAUCGGUAAUAAUAUGGAAAAAUAAAUAAUUGAAUGUAGCUACAUUUGUCUGUGUUAUGUAAAUGUUUAACACCGACACGUGAUGAAGUUCAGACGCGCCUUCAAUGUGAAGUGACGGUGCUACACAGAACCAAACUCUUCCUUGCAAAUCCUCCACCCCCCCACUUAACUUUCUGAUGGUUCUACAAGGUAAAAGCUAGCAAAUUGUACCAAAUAUACCUCUCAGUGAGAAACCCAGAAAUUCAAGAUGAAAUAUGUAACAUUAAUCAAACUAAAAGAUAAGAAAAACAAUUACUACGUGUUCUGGACUGGCCCAAGUUUCUCAUCAACUCAAGGCCCACUACACAAAGGCCCAAUUCAGCGGAAUUCUUCCUCAGCCUCAGAUCCUCUCCAAUUCGUAACGGCUCCAACGGCUAGUAAUGCUUCUCAACGGCCGCCGGAUCCAAACAUUGAUGAGGCGUCAAUGGUAACAACGGUACUCCAUCACUCUCCAACGGCUCCUCUCUGGUGCCUACAGAAACCAUCCUUUACCACAAUGCAAGGUACACAAUUCCUUCCACUUGAUACCUCUCACUCUUUGCUCUCAUACUAACUUGAGGAUCGGAGUGUUUUCAGGUACCACCUCCUAACAUUCAUCUUGACGGACAUUGUUCAAGUUCGGUCAAUCCUUCUCAAUCACGUAAGAUCACUAUGUGCCCAACAAAACCGUAACAAGUAAUUAACACUGUUGGGUCAUGGGGGAACCCGGAGAUCAACAUAUUGGAUUUAGAGUAACCACACAAGUAGAUUGAACACCAUAUAUAAACCAAAAACCUUAAGACAUUAGAUAUGUGGGUUCUCUCACUUAUAUGUUGACAUAUAAUUUGCAACAAAAAUUUAAAUCUUCAUGUUAGUGUAUUCUAUGAAGCAUUGACAGAGACACAACACUGAUACACCACAUACGCCGAUAAUUCUAAAAAUGAAUUAAUUAAAUGAAUUUUAUGUGCGACAGACACGACAUCAGACACAACACUAACACAAACAUUCGAUCAAAAGUGUUGGUGCUAUAAAGAGGGUAUUACAUUACAUAUACUAACAAAAGCAAAUAAACAAAUGCAAAUAAAUAGUAGGCCAAAUUGAGGUGCAUCCCCCAAAGCUAAAAAUGGAAAGAUGUAAAGGAAACAGUUACAUGGGGCUACAACUUAGAAGCUAAAUACACAAUUAUAUAAUGCACUUCUAUUAAAACAGAAUAUAGAUGAUAGCAUAGCAGUAGUAAAUGGAUCCGAAAAGCGUAAGGUGAAAGGAAUUGAAAAGUGGGAAGAGGAUGAACCUGCAAAGGAUGACGUAUUUUCUCAGAGGUGGUUUCAUUUUCGGUUGAAACGAUGGACAUGGUAGAGUGGAAACCGAAGAUUGGAGCUCUGGGAUUUUGAGUAACAGUGGAAAUGAAAAACCUGACAUGUUAUUGUAUUUUAUUAUUGGAUUGGAUGGAGAAUUAAAUUAUUCUAAUCAUGAUAUUGCGUCAACCAAAGUUUGCUGCAGACAUGUGACGGACCAAAUGGCCAACUUGUCCACAAAUAAAAUAAAAAAAAGGCUUAAAUAGUGAUGAAAUUUCAUCCAACCAUUUGAUUUUUUAUCCUUGAGUUUACUAAUCCUCUCAUUUUACCCUUGUAAAAAUUAACCAUUUAAAAUUUCGUCCCUCUUCCAGAUUAAUCACUGCCACGUCAUCAAAUUAGCAAAAUGGCAUGGGAAUGGACAAAAAUACCCUCAAAUUAAUCUUCUUCACUCCUUCAAGCUUCCCUUGAGAAACCUGAUUCAUUUUUUCUUCCCUGAGAAAUCAUCAAUCUCCCUGCUUCAUUCUUUUUCUUCAAGUUUCCAAACAGAACACAUGCAACAAAGCGAUAGUGAAAAAAGAAAGUGAACCAAUAAAGGAGAAGGAAGAUGAAACCUCAAUCCAGACGGAAUUGGUAGUGCACGUGGUGGUUGCUGGAGGAAGGAGCUGCUCGCGGCGGUGCUCUGAUCAAAUAUGACGGUAACGGCGACGUAGAUCGAUUUGCGGCAGUGUUGAAUGUGAUUGAUGUUGCAGCUAUUUCCACUCAUUUCUAUAAUUUUCCUUUCUCUUUCAAACACAUAUUACCAGCCUUUGUUUUUGGAUAUGAGUGAUGGAUUUUGAUGAGUUUGAACACGUUGAUAUUGGAAGGAUUGACAAUGAAUUGAUUUGGGUGUUUAAAAUGAGAAUUUUACAAAGGAAAGUGGAAUUUGCGGUGUGGGUUGAAGGUUUUGUUUGGAUUUGUUGAAGAAAUGGAGGUUAUGGGUGGAUUAUUAGUUGAUGAUGAAGUGGAAGAGGAUGAGGAAGAAGGAGGGGUAUUUUUGUCCAUUCCUAUGUCAUUUUGCUAAUUUGAUGACGUGGCAGUAAUUAAUUGGGAAGAGGGACGAAAUUUUAAAUGAUUAAUUUUUACAGGGGCAAAAUGGAAGGAUUAGUAAGUUUAGGGAUGAAAAAUCAAAUGACCUAUAAUUACAGGGAUGAAAUGCAUAUUUAAGCCUAAAAAAAACAUAAACUAAAGGUGUUCAACUCACAAAAAUAUUAAAAGACGUUGGAGUUGGAUUUGAACUUCGAUACUGAGUUUUAAAAGUUUUUUGAGUUUUAAUAGCUAUUUACCAUUUUGUCUAUAAAAAAAAAAAUAUAGAAAAUAUAAUUAACACGGUUGAAUUAUAUAUGUAUCAGUUAUCACGCUAGUCGGAGUACCCUUGCAACACAGUUGCACGGGGCAAGUCUGUCUUGGUUAGUUAUAUUGAUUAAUUUUAAUUUCAUAACCAAUGAUAAAUAUUAAUAGAGUAGUGAUACAACUUUUGAUGACAACUAAUUUUCUCUCUCUCUUUUUAUUGGUUAAAAACAAUCAAGAGAUAAAAAAGAAGAGAGAGAAUAAGAGGAUAAUGUAAGUAUGAGAUAGAAAGUUGUCAAAAAGUUGUCACAAAGUGGUUGUACAACUGACAAACUUUAUGGUACACCAAAAAAUUUGAGUGUAUUAAUACACUAAAUCAAUAAAUUAAUAGUUAAAUGUAUUAUUUUCUGAAGAGAAAAAUUGUUUUCUAUCACCUAUAAUUAUAAUAAUGAAAUCUUAUUUACCAAAAACAUUCACAGAAUAAAAUUUAAUUUUUCUGAAUUUUUAGUACUCAUACUAGAGAAUUUUGAUUAUUUUUUACAAUAAAAUAUAAAAAAAAUUAGUAUGAUUUUUAUAAACAAUGAAAUGAAGUUUUUUCUUAUGUAAUGACAUUUUCUAAAAUAUAAAUAUCAACAAAUAACUUUUUAUUUCAUAAAAAUAAUAGUUCAUUUAAAGAUUUGAUAAACCAUAAUUUACAGGUAUACCGUAUAAGUUCUCGUACAAAUAUCAUUUCUCAUACUAGUAAUAUUCUUUGUAAAUUUGAUAGAAAUAAAGUAAGCAAGCAAUGACUAUCAAGCCAUAUUCUAACAGAGUCAAAAAGAUACAUCAAUACGACAAUGGUAAAUACUAAUAGUAUUCUUUCAGUGUUACAAACAGAAAACUUCAAAAGCUUCCACUCCAAAUGAAUUGUCUUUACUCUGUUGCACAAACAGAAAAUGAAAUCAACUUCAAAAUAAAGAAAGAUUAGGCAUAUGUUUGUUUUCACAGUUAAUUCAUUCCCACCGUAAAUUAACAUUGAAGCUACGAAUAUUAACAAAUUUAUAGUUCUAUUUAUUACAAAAGAUAGCAAAUGAACUCAACACGAGAGAAUAACAAACCAAGCCACAUGUAAAUGGCAUUUGCUUAAACAUUUCAGUUGCAUAACUGCAUAAGUAAAUAUAAUGAUAGAAGAUAUUUGUUCAAAAUAGCAAAAGUUAUAGAGAAAAACCUAAAAAGGGAUCAAAUCCCUUGAAACACAGUAGAAUCCCUCAUAGGAUAAAUCAUUUGACCACCAAACUGGACUUACAAAAGUCAAGGUGAAAAAAACGUCAUGUAAUUGCAUGUUAUAUCACAUGACAUGAUCAUGCAUACAUAUUAUUUCCUAAUUCUCUCCUUCAUCCUCUCUCCUUCAUCCUCUUCUGGAUUCAAGUAAAAUGCACUGCAAGGUAUCGCCGCCACACCAAUCUCCUUAAUUAGAUAUUCACAAAAUGCAACAUCAUUUUCAUGUCCAAAAGGGGUGUGAUCU